rnacentral:RNase_P_RNA from 1 species
GAGUCGGUCGGGCGGCCGCGUGGGGGAACCCACGAGGAACGUCCGGGCUCCACAGGGCAGGGUGAUGGCUAACGGCCACCCGGGGCGACCCGAGGGACAGUGCCACAGAGAACAGACCGCCGCGGGAGACCGCGGUAAGGGUGAAACGGUGGGGUAAGAGCCCACCAGCGAUUCGGGUGACCGGAUCGGCUCGGCAAACCCCACCCGGAGCAAGACCGAGCAGCAGGCAGUGGGCGGCCCGUCCCCGUCCUGCGGGUAGGUUGCUGGAGGCUCGCGGCAACGCGGGUCCUAGAGAGAUGGUCGCCGCCGUCGUCGACGGAACAGAACCCGGCGUACAGACCGGCUCAU